AGUGAACGCUGGCGGUAGGCCUAACACAUGCAAGUCGAACGGCAGCACAGUAAGAGCUUGCUCUUACGGGUGGCGAGUGGCGGACGGGUGAGGAAUACAUCGGAAUCUACUUUUUCGUGGGGGAUAACGUAGGGAAACUUACGCUAAUACCGCAUACGACCUACGGGUGAAAGCAGGGGAUCUUCGGACCUUGCGCGAUUGAAUGAGCCGAUGUCGGAUUAGCUAGUUGGCGGGGUAAAGGCCCACCAAGGCGACGAUCCGUAGCUGGUCUGAGAGGAUGGUCCGCCACACUGGGACUUGAGAACCGUCCAGGCUCCUACGGGGAGGAACAGUUGGGAAUAUUGGAGAAUGGGCGGAAGCCUGAACCAACCAUACCGCGUGGGUGGAGAAGGCCUUCGGGUUCUAAAGCCCUUUUUAUGAGAAAAAAAAGCAGCAGGUUAAUACCCCGCUCUUCUGACGGUACCCAAAGAAGAAGCACCGGCUAACUUCGUG
rnacentral:rRNA from 1 species